rnacentral:tRNA from 1 species
AUUUGGAUAGCUUAAGUUAAAGCCUAAUAUUGAAGCUAUUAAGAUAAGAUUAAUUCUUUCCAAAUA